AUGGGGCACAGGAAGCAGACAAUUUGGGACCGAAAGAGAAGAUGGCUUUUCUGGGGCAGCUGAAACAUGCUCUCACGGCUCCUUGCUGUUGGCAUUCUUACCCCCAAAGAUGGGGGGUAGUGGGGCUGGUGCAGUGGGUGUUAAUUGAAAGGCUUUCAGGGUGGGUUAGGUAGGAAGGGUACCCUUCCUGGGCUGCCUGUGAGCUCUUUAUGACAGUGCUUACUGCUGCUCUGUCCAGGGGAGCCAAGAAAUUCAGGGCAACGGUAAAAGUGGAAACGGUUAAUUUCAAAGAGGUCAUGCUUGUGCAGAGAAAGUAGGGAGGGAGAAAGGAACUGGGAUCUUGACCUCAACGGAAAGGAAGCUAGGUGCACGCUUUGUGCCCUGUCAGCUGAGAAGGUGUGGACACUCCUGAGAAGUUCAACUGCAGGAAUGGAUCCCCAAGUACGGAUUUUGGACAAGUAGAAAAGUCGUCACCCUACAUUGUAUUUCAGUCUAAAUAGCCUAGCUUUUCCUAAGUAGUUGGGCUCUGGGCCCCAAGGCAGUACAAGUUAUAGUUGUUGCAAAGGGCGUCACCUCAAGUGUUAAGAAGCCAGCUCACAGCAUCUGGUUUCUCGGGGAGAAAAGUUGGGGAGCUACACAUCGGCUCCUAGAAGCAUUAAUUCUCAAAUAAAUGUUUGUUUCUCAGCAACCACCCAACCCCCCUGGGCCACAAGUGAAGGGAGGACUUGCCUUCCCUCGUCUUUCCACCUCACCAAAACUGGAGUCUGGAAGAGGCAAGUUGUGCAGCACCCCGCCCAGCUGCAGCAGCCUCCUGGUAGGACAAUACACUCUCUGUCCGAAGCCCGCCUCAAUUGGCUGUGCCACUUCACCCACUCUUCCUGGUUCCCAGCAUUCGAACCCUCCUCUAAAGUUCCCCCUGGCCCAGUGUUCUCCAGCCACAGCAGCGUCAGUGCCCUCUGCCUAUCACCCUCCAGCCCAAGGGCCAGUCACUAGCAUGGGAUUGCCCCAAGCUGUGGAAGAGGGUACUCAGCCCUCAGUGCCAAGAUGGGCUGCCUUCUGCAUAACUAAGCUCCAGUCCCCACAAACCGGCUCCUCUAUUGCUGACUACACAGCAAGUCAACCCAAGAUGGUAUGAAGAAAACUCCCAGCCCCAGCAACAUCCACCCCUGCCAAGGGCCAGUCUCGGGGGGCCUACAAGACUACCCAGAUGGAAAUCGGGUACUCCACCCCUUGUAAUCAGAACCAGACUGUGCAGACUUUGCCAAAGGCAAAAAAAACGAACACUGGAAGGAGCCAGCUGAGAGAUGAGACAGAGGCCUUAGUGCUGGUGUCUGCCUCCAGUAGGCAUUGGCCACUCACUUCUCAGAAAAGUCUAGUGGAGAGGGCCAGGGAGGGAGUUCUCAGGAAGUGCCCCACUGCCACGGAACACUGGGGAGGCUGGGGGUGGGAACAGAUUCUGGGCUUGCAGGAUGACAUUGCUCCUUUACCCCUCCCUCCUCUGCCUCCCCCUGCAGGCAGCACAACUCAGCCCAGCCCAGCCCUGCAUGGCUGGGGAAAGGAGUGCAGGGCUUGUGUGCUGUGCUGCCAGGCUUAAGCCACUAGAGCAGAGCUCUGCUUCCUUCCCUUAUUAGCAAAAAAAUGAAAAGCGAUCUGGUAAGUGAUCCAGUGGUCUAGAGCACUGGCUGUAAAAGCAUGAGGUCCCAAGUUCACUCCCCAAUAUCACAUGCACCAGGAUGAUGCUCUGGUUAUUUUUCAUGUUAAUAAAAGUAACACAGCCCUACGGUUCAGUACCAAGGCAUUCCGACCACUAGCAGGUCCAGAAACUGCAAAAGAAGUGGCGUUGGACCGCAGAACGAACUUCCAAAUAAAUCUCCGCUGGGAAGCCUGGGUCUUGAGGUCCUGAGUUGCAUGUGAGGAAACAUUUUUUGUUUUAAUUGCGGUGCCCAGAAAUAGAACCCAGGGCCUCAUGGGUGGUAGGCCCGUUCUCUGCCGCUGAGCCAUCUCCCCCAGAGACUUUCACAGAGAUCUCUCCCAGCAAUAGCCAUGACCUUGCAGGGUGAGUGACUGGAGUUGCUGGGGAGGCGGGGUCUGAAUUUGAUGGUCAUCAGCGCUGAGUCCUUUGCGCGAAAACAAGUGUCACCUGAUGGAGAAGACGGGUGGGUGGCCAGCGGCGUGAGUGCCACGACGCC